UGACACUGGACUCUCCAGAGAGCUAUGAUGAUGUCAUCACUUCAGGACAGAACCCAGACAGUGUGAUGGAGGAAAAUGUGACAGAGGCUCCACCAGAGCGCUAUGAUGAUGUCAUCACUGUAGGGAGGAAGUCUGGAAGUGUGAUGGAGCUGACUGGAACAAAGGUCUCAUUGGAGUUCUAUGAUGAUGUCAUCACAUCAGGGCAAGAUCCAGGCAGUUUGAUUGG